rnacentral:misc_RNA from 1 species
GAUGAAGAACGUAGUGAAAUGCGAUAAGUAAUGUGAAUUGCAGAAUUCAGUGAAUCAUCGAAUCUUUGAACGCACAUUGCGCCCCCUGGUAUUCCGGGGGGCAUGCCUGUUCGAGCGUCAUUUCACCACUCAAGCCUCGCUUGGUAUUGGGCAACGCGGUCCGCCGCGUGCCUCAAAUCGACCGGCUGGGUCUUCUGUCCCCUAAGCGUUGUGGAAACUAUUCGCUAAAGGGUGCUCGGGAGGCUACGCCGUAAAACAAACCCAUUUCUAAGGUUGACCUCGGAUCAGGUAGGGAUACCUGCUGAACUUAAGCAUAUCAUAAGCGGAGGA